GACGAACGCUGGCGGCGUGCCUAAUACAUGCAAGUCGAGCGGAGUUAUGAUGGAGCUUGCUCCGGAUUAACUUAGCGGCGGACGGGUGAGUAACACGUAGGCAACCUACCUCUUUGACUGGGAUAACUACCGGAAACGGUAGCUAAUACCGGAUAAUUCCUUUGUUCACAUGGACGAAGGAUGAAAAGCGGAGCAAUCUGCUACAAGGGGAUGGGCCUGCGGCGCAUUAGCUAGUUGGUGGGGUAACGGCUCACCAAGGCGACGAUGCGUAGCCGACCUGAGAGGGUGAACGGCCACACUGGGACUGAGACACGGCCCAG
rnacentral:rRNA from 1 species